rnacentral:rRNA from 1 species
AGAAUCAACGCUGGCGGCGUGCCUAACACAUGCAAGUCGAACGAGAAAGUGGAGCAAUCCAUGAGUAAAGUGGCGCACGGGUGAGUAACACGUGACUAACCUACCCUUGAGUGGGGGAUAACCUAGGGAAACCUGGGCUAAUACCGCAUAAUACCUUCGGGUCAAAGGAGCAAUUCGCUUAAGGAGGGGGUCGCGGCCGAUUAGUUAGUUGGCGGGGUAAUGGCCCACCAAGACUGUGAUCGGUAUCCGGCCUGAGAGGGCGCACGGACACACUGGAACUGAAACACGGUCCAGACUCCUACGGGAGGCAGCAGUGGGGAAUUUUGCGCAAUGGGGGAAACCCUGACGCAGCAACGCCGCGUGGAGGAUGAAGUCCCUUGGGACGUAAACUCCUUUCGAUCGGGACGAUUAUGACGGUACCGGAAGAAGAAGCCCCGGCUAACUUCGUGCCAGCAGCCG